rnacentral:tmRNA from 2 species
GUUGGCUUGCCAACUACGACGAUAAACGAAUUUCGUAAUAACCAUUACGGACGUGGGGGCAGUACCCACCACCUCCACCA